rnacentral:rRNA from 1 species
UACAGAGGUGGCAAGCGUUGUUCGGAAUUACUGGGCGUAAAGGGCGCGUAGGCGGCCAUCUAAGUCAGACGUGAAAUCCCCCGGCUUAACCUGGGAACUGCGUCUGAUACUGGAAGGCUUGAGUUUGGGAGAGGGAUGCAGAAUUCCAGGUGUAGCGGUGAAAUGCGUAGAUAUCUGGAGGAAUACCGGUGGCGAAGGCGGCAUCCUGGACUAACACUGACGCUGAGGCGCGAAGGCUAGGGGAGCAAACGGG